GAAGUUAGUUUGUUCCUGUUCCGUAGUUAAAGUUGUACCGAGUGGAAUAAAAGUUGGAAGCAGAAGAAAGAGUUUAAUACUCGGCCAUCCACGGCCUCCAAGUUUGAGUGGACGAAACACACUCCAAGUGACUUGAAGAGGCCACUGUCCUCAGAUUUGAAGUGUAAUACGAAAACCAAAAGAAGUGUGCGAAGGCCAAAAUCGACGGUAACAACGUUAACUUCAUCACACGUGGCAGAAAAGUACAGCCAGCUUUUGGACAAAAGGGACUUGUUAUUAGACAAGCAGUUGGAAGUGGCUGACUUGCAGAUAAGGCAAGAAAAAAUUAAAUGCGAUCUUCUGGAAAUAGAACUAGCCAAUAAAAAAGAAAAAUAUUAAAUAUAAGGGUUUUUAUUUAACCAUUUAUAACGAACAUUUUUAUCAUAAUUAAACACAUUUUCUUAAUUUAAAUUUGAAAAGUAAUUGUCAAUUAACACUUGACGGUAUUUCCGCAUUCUAAAAAAUAAUGGAAUUCAUCCAUACUUAAAUUUUCCGGUGAAGGUGGAUCAGCUUCCUUCAUUUCCUGGGCUAUGUUGUGUAACACAGCCGUCGCAACAAUUACCGUUAACGAAGUUUCCAAUUUACAUGUUAGCCCGUAUGCUAAAACUGGAAAUCUUCGUUUCCAAACGCCAAUAGUCCGUUCAACACAGUUCCUGGUUCUUAUAUGGCAUUCAUUAUAAAGCCUUUGACUUUCGUUACCAGGAUUUAAAAGUGGAGUUAACAAGUAUGACUUUAAACCAUACCCACUAUUACCUGAAAGUUAUCUUUUUACAAUUGUGAAGUAAUAUUUAAUUGUAUAAUAUAAUUUAGUGUAGUUGUCAUAUUUACGUGCAUUAUUACCAAAUUCGCCAAUUUAUAUUCUAUCCUUCAAUCUGCAGCUAUUGAAAAUUGUUGAAUCGUGCGUUGAGCCUGGCCAAUCAGCAACAAUGUCCAUAAUUUUUAACGCGCUAUUGCAAACAAUUUGUGUGUAUCGAAAAAUAGGACUUUCGAUUUCGAAAGACUUCUGCAUCUUCACCUCCUAAAAUAGAGCAAUUUUAUUAUAAAUAUUUCUCAGUGAUUGAUAUAAAUUAAUUCGUAUUCCAUAAGGUAUUGGAUAUAUUGUGUAAUCUUAUUUAUACAUAUAAAUUUACCUGGGGAACUUAUUCUUAUAUGCGUUCCAUCAAUGCAACCAAUAACUCUGGGAAAGCGAGCAAUUUGGAAUAAACCAUUUUGAGUUCGAUAUAUUUCAUCAUUCGAAGGCAUUUUCACGUAUCUUGGCCGUAAAUCUGCAAUUGCAUUAGAUACGUUCUUAAUAACCUUAGAGGCAGUUGUUUGAUGAAUCCCCAUGAAAUCUGCGAUGCAAUUUUGGUGAGCAUCACAAGCAUAAAAUCUAAGAGCCGUUAAAAUUUGGUUGAUGGUUGAGAAAUUGUUAUUUCCGUAAAAAACAUGAAUGGUAUUCAUUGAUAUCCAGAUAUUUAUUAUUUUACUUUUGCAGCUUACGUGCUACUGGGAUAUACUAGAAGGUGGCCAAUUUCUUCUAGCAAUCGAAAAACGACCGGUUUUGUUAAACCAAAGCGUCUAUAAAAAGACAUUUCGUCAAGUGCUAUGGUCAAGUGCCUCGAAAUAAUUUGUCCGGAGUAAUAGUCUCCUUGGAAAACCAUAAUCAAAUAUUUCUAAAACAUCAAUAUCAUCCUCUAAUAUAAUUUCUUCUAACUCCAUUUUCCAAGUAGUUAACACACGAACCGACUAGAAUUUGCUAGGACAAACACAAAAUCUCGUCUUUAUCUAAAACAAAACCCUCAAUUUGAAAGGUUUUGUUAUGUAUUUAAACUAGUUUAAGAAUUUAAUCGUCGGACGUGGUGGAUUAAAGUUAAACGCGUUUAAGGUCAAAACAGUCGACCGUGCAUACCGUUUACGAUUUUUAAACCGAUUUAAGGCUUAAUCGCGAUUAAAGUCUGUCGGUGCAUACGGGAUAAAUAGUCUAAAUGUUGAUUUGAAAAAGAAGUCUGAAGAACUGAAACAAGCCAUUUACAGUACUACCCAACAAUUGAAUGUGAAGAAAGCAUUGGUGUGUGAGUAUCAGCAUGAAAUUGGCACAACUCGAAGCGAUAUCGCAGAUGUGGAGCAGGAAAGAACGAUCCUGGCUUUGCAUAAAGAAAACAACCGGUUAAGGGAAUCAUGGGAAACUGAUUUGCAACAAAAGGAAUGCGCAUUAAAAUUCGCGGGUGAAUCCUCAAUUGAUGAACUGGCCGUGAUGGAGACCGCAUGGAAGAACUGCAAUUGCAACUGGCUGAAGGGCCACCAAAGUCCACUUUUCCCAGGUCACCCUGCAGGAGAAGAGAAGCGAAAUCUUUGAACUUGAAAAAAAAAUGUCUGUGCAAUUCAAGGAAGUAUGUAAUCUAGCUGUAGAUCUAGCCUCUGCCAAAAAUGAAAUGAGACUGUUAAACUUCAGAGCUUUAGAGUUGGCGCAACAAAUUGAAGAAGCCAAGAAAUAGGCGCUUUUAUCCGCGGAAUCUAAUAAAUGUCGUAGAUAUACUAUGUUUCAAGUCAGAGACUAAGUUUAGAUUAGGAAUAUGUAUAUUAAAUUGCAAUAGUUA